rnacentral:rRNA from 1 species
AUGACCUGUGUUUAGGAGUGAAAAGCUCAUCGAAUACCGUGAUAGCUGGUUCUCUCCGAAAUGCAUUUAGGUGCAGCCUGUAUUUUAAGGUCUUGAAGAGGUAGAGCUCUGGAAAGGCUAGGGGGAUCGAGAGAUCUUACCAAACCUUACUAAACUUCGAAUGCUUCAAGGAAUAAUACAGAGUGGGACUGCGGGAGCAAGUUUCGUAGUCAAAAGGAUAACAGUCCAGACUUCUGAUUAAGGUCCCUAAAGUAAUGCUAAGUGGAAAAAGAGGUGUCUUUACUUAUACAUCCAGGAGGUUUGCCUAGAAGCAGCAAUCCUUUAAAGAAAGCGUAACAGCUCACUGGACUAGUGAAGAUGCGCUGAAGAUGUAACGGGGCUAAGCAUUAUACCGAAAUCGAAGACCAGUGUAGUAAUACACUGUGUGGUAGGAGAGUGUUCUUACAGGAUGAAGCUACAUCGUGAGGUGUGGUCGACUAGUAAGAAGUAAAAAUGCUGACAUGAGUAACGCUUAUUGAUGAAAAUUCAAUAUAUCGAAACCCUAAGGAUUCCUACGCAACGUUCAUCGUCGUAGGGUUAGUCGGGACCUAAGGCUUAUCCAGAAAUGGAGAGUCGAUGGAUAACUGGUUAAUAUUCCAGUACUUAUAUAUAGAGUGAUGGGGUGACGCAUUGAGAUUUGUGAGAGCUUAUUAAGGAUUUAAGUCGAAAGAACAAGGUUUUUAUAGCAUUAGCUAUAAAGGUAGUUGCAGGAAAAUCCACAGCUAUUGAUACUGAGUUUGAUCGGGAUUCAAUUCCUCGGAAUUGGAAAUUCUCAUCGUUUUGGUGCCGAGAAAAACCUCUAAACUUAAUCUAUAUGUAACCCGUACCCAGAUCAGACACUUGUGGGGUGGUAGAGAAUACUAAGAUAAUCGAGAUAACUAAUGGGUAAGGAACUUGGCAAAUUAGCGGACGUACUUUCGAAAUAAGUCCUGUCCCGAGCAAUCGGGAUCGCAGCGAAAGAGAUGGGGGGAACUGUUUAUCAAAAACACAGCUCGCUGCUAACUCGUAAGAGGAUGUAUAGCGGGUGAUGCCUGUCCAAUGCCAGAAUGUUAUGCUCUCUUGUGCAAGCUCGAGGGUUAAGCACUGGUGAAUGACGGCCGUAACUAUGACGGUCCUAAGGUAGCGAAAUUCCUUGUCAGGUAAGUUCUGACGCGCAUGAAUGGCAUAAUCAUCCCCAUGCUGUCUUACCCUUAGACUCGGUGAAAUUACAUUCCCGGUAAAAAUGCCGGGUAGUCACAGUUAGACGGAAAGACCCUGUGAAGCUUUACUGUAGAUUGAUAUUGGAUUGUAGCAUGUUUUGCUCAGUAUAGGUGGGAGGCUUUGAUGUUUCGACUUCGGUUGGGGCGGAGCCAAUAGUGAGAUACCACCCAAAAUAUGUAGCAAUUCUAAUCCCUAGGUUGGGAGACAGUUUCAGUUGGACAGUUUACCUGGGGCGGGUGCCUCCUAAAAAGUAGCGGAGGCGUGCAAAGGUUUGCUUACUACGGAUGGAAACCGUGGUGAAUGUGUAUUCGCAUAAGCAAGCUUGACUGUGAGACUGACAGGUCGAACAGAUACGAAAGUAGGCGAAAGUGAUCCGGAUCUUCCGAGUGGAAGGGGAUCCGCUCAACGGAUAAAAGUUACUCCGGGGAUAACAGGCUAAUGGAAUCUAAGCGUUCACAGCGACGAUUCCGUUUGGCACCUCGAUGUCGACUCGUCGCAUCCUGGGGCUGUAGAAG